rnacentral:rRNA from 1 species
UGGGGAAUUGUUCACAAUGGGCGCAAGCCUGAUGACGCAACGCCGCGUGGGGGAUGAAGGUCUUCGGAUCGUAAACCCCUGUCGAAUGGGACGAAAGACUCGCGAGUGAAUACUUCGCGAGAGUGACGGUACCGUUAAAGGAAGCCACGGCUAACUCUGUGCCAGCAGCCGCGGUAAUACAGAGGUGGCAAGCGUUGUUCGGAAUUACUGGGCGUAAAGCGCACGUAGGCGGACUUGUCAGUCAGGGGUGAAAUCCCAAGGCUCAACCUUGGAACUGCCUCCGAUACAGCAAGCCUAGAGAUCGGGAGAGGUGAGUGGAAUUCCUAGUGUAGAGGUGAAAUUCGUAGAUAUUAGGAAGAACACCAGUGGCGAAGGCGGCUCACUGGCCCGAUACUGACGCUGAGGUGCGAAAGCGUGGGGAGCAAACAGGAUUAGAUACCCUUGUAGUCCCUGAGCGGGCUGGCAAGGCGCAU